GUUUCUGAUGAGGAAAUGGCGGAACUUAACAUUAGUGCAGUUCCUAAGUCAACGCAAUAUGCAACUAAGUAUGGUGUUAAAAUUUUUAAAGACCUCAAAAGCACUGUAGACCCUUCGUGAGAGUUAAAUUCAGUGAGCAAGUUUGGAUUGAAGCAGGAGCUUGCAAAAUGUAAAGUAUUUGUGGAGGUG